rnacentral:rRNA from 1 species
AGAACGAACGCUGGCGGCAUGCCUAACACAUGCAAGUCGAACGAGACCUUUCGGGGUCUAGUGGCGCACGGGUGCGUAACGCGUGGGAAUCUGCCCCUUGGUUCGGAAUAACAGUUAGAAAUGACUGCUAAUACCGGAUGACGACGUAAGUCCAAAGAUUUAUCGCCGGGGGAUGAGCCCGCGUAGGAUUAGCUAGUUGGUGAGGUAACGGCUCACCAAGGCGACGAUCCUUAGCUGGUCUGAGAGGAUGAUCAGCCACACUGGGACUGAGACACGGCCCAGACUCCUACGGGAGGCAGCAGUGGGGAAUAUUGGACAAUGGGCGAAAGCCUGAUCCAGCAAUGCCGCGUGAGUGAUGAAGGCCUUAGGGUUGUAAAGCUCUUUUACCAGGAUGAUAAUGACAGUACCUGGAGAAUAAGCUCCGGCUAACUCCGCGCCAGCAGCCGC